rfam:Deltaproteobacteria bacterium RIFOXYD12_FTLL_50_9 rifoxyd3_full_scaffold_2078, whole genome shotgun sequence.
CGCAGCCACUGUAAAGGUGGUUGUGUUGGUGCAGAAGUCAGCAGAGGCCAUAUUAGACAAGGAAUCCACCAUUCAUGGCGGUGUGGUGGCUGGGAACGAGCCCGGUUUAGCCGGGAUAGACUCACCCUGUCGAAGGGC